rnacentral:rRNA from 1 species
AUCCUGUCUGAAUAUGGGGGGACCAUCCUCCAAGGCUAAAUACUCCUGACUGACCGAUAGUGAACCAGUACCGUGAGGGAAAGGCGAAAAGAACCCCUGUGAGGGGAGUGAAAUAGAACCUGAAACCGUGUACGUACAAGCAGUAGGAGCACCUUCGUGGUGUGACUGCGUACCUUUUGUAUAAUGGGUCAGCGACUUAUAUUCAGUGGCAAGGUUAACCGUAUAGGGGAGCCGUAGCGAAAGCGAGUCUUAACUGGGCGCUCAGUCUCUGGAUAUAGACCCGAAACCGGGUGAUCUAGCCAUGGGCAGGUUGAAGGUUGAGUAACAUCAACUGGAGGACCGAACCGACUAAUGUUGAAAAAUUAGCGGAUGACUUGUGGCUAGGGGUGAAAGGCCAAUCAAACUCGGAGAUAGCUGGUUCUCCCCGAAAGCUAUUUAGGUAGCGCCUCGGACGAAUACUACUGGGGGUAGAGCACUGUUAAGGCUAGGGGGUCAUCCCGACUUACCAACCCUUUGCAAACUCCGAAUACCAGUAAGUACUAUCCGGGAGACACACGGCGGGUGCUAACGUCCGUCGUGGAGAGGGAAACAACCCAGACCGCCAGCUAAGGUCCCAAAGUAUUGCUAAGUGGGAAACGAUGUGGGAAGGCUCAGACAGCUAGGAUGUUGGCUUAGAAGCAGCCAUCAUUUAAAGAAAGCGUAAUAGCUCACUAGUCGAGUCGGCCUGCGCGGAAGAUGUAACGGGGCUAAGCAAUACACCGAAGCUGCGGCAAUGUCUUUUAGACAUUGGGUAGGGGAGCGUUCUGUAAGCCGUUGAAGGUGAAUCGUAAGGUUUGCUGGAGGUAUCAGAAGUGCGAAUGCUGACAUGAGUAACGACAAAGGGGGUGAAAAACCUCCUCGCCGGAAGACCAAGGGUUCCUGUCCAACGUUAAUCGGGGCAGGGUGAGUCGACCCCUAAGGUGAGGCCGAAAGGCGUAAUCGAUGGGAAACGGGUUAAUAUUCCCGUACUUCUGACUAUUGCGAUGGGGGGACGGAGAAGGCUAGGUGGGCCAGGCGACGGUUGUCCUGGUUCAAGUGCGUAGGCUUGAGAGUUAGGUAAAUCCGGCUCUCUCUAAGGCUGAGACACGACGUCGAGCUACUACGGUAGUGAAGUCAUUGAUGCCAUGCUUCCAGGAAAAGCCUCUAAGCUUCAGAUAGUCAGGAAUCGUACCCCAAACCGACACAGGUGGUCGGGUAGAGAAUACCAAGGCGCUUGAGAGAACUCGGGUGAAGGAACUAGGCAAAAUGGUACCGUAACUUCGGGAGAAGGUACGCUCUUGAUGGUGAAGUCCCUCGCGGAUGGAGCUGACGAGAGUCGCAGAUACCAGGUGGCUGCAACUGUUUAUUAAAAACACAGCACUGUGCAAAAUCGCAAGAUGACGUAUACGGUGUGACGCCUGCCCGGUGCCGGAAGGUUAAUUGAUGGGGUUAGCGCAAGCGAAGCUCUUGAUCGAAGCCCCGGUAAACGGCGGCCGUAACUAUAACGGUCCUAAGGUAGCGAAAUUCCUUGUCGGGUAAGUUCCGACCUGCACGAAUGGCGUAAUGAUGGCCACGCUGUCUCCACCCGAGACUCAGUGAAAUUGAAAUCGCUGUGAAGAUGCAGUGUACCCGCGGCUAGACGGAAAGACCCCGUGAACCUUUACUACAGCUUGGCACUGAACAUUGAACCUACAUGUGUAGGAUAGGUGGGAGGCUAUGAAGACGUGACGCCAGUUGCGUUGGAGCCGUCCUUGAAAUACCACCCUUGUAUGUUUGAUGUUCUAACUUAGACCCAUUAUCUGGGUUGAGGACAGUGCCUGGUGGGUAGUUUGACUGGGGCGGUCUCCUCCCAAAGAGUAACGGAGGAGCACGAAGGUGGGCUAAUCACGGUUGGACAUCGUGAGGUUAGUGCAAUGGCAUAAGCCCGCUUAACUGCGAGAAUGACGGUUCGAGCAGGUGCGAAAGCAGGUCAUAGUGAUCCGGUGGUUCUGUAUGGAAGGGCCAUCGCUCAACGGAUAAAAGGUACUCCGGGGAUAACAGGCUGAUACCGCCCAAGAGUUCAUAUCGACGGCGGUGUUUGGCACCUCGAUGUCGGCUCAUCACAUCCUGGGGCUGAAGUCGGUCCCAAGGGUAUGGCUGUUCGCCAUUUAAAGUGGUACGCGAGCUGGGUUUAGAACGUCGUGAGACAGUUCGGUCCCUAUCUGCCGUGGGCGUUGGAAGAUUGAAGGGGGCUGCUCCUAGUACGAGAGGACCGGAGUGGACGAACCUCUGGUGUUCGGGUUGUGUCGCCAGACGCAUUGCCCGGUAGCUAAGUUCGGAAUUGAUAAGCGCUGAAAGCAUCUAAGCGCGAAGCGAGCCCUGAGAUGAGUCUUCCCUGACAGUUUAACUGUCCUAAAGGGUUGUUCGAGACUAGAACGUUGAUAGGCAGGGUGUGUAAGCGUUGUGAGGCGUUGAGCUAACCUGUACUAAUUGCCCGUGAGGCUUAACCAU